GCUCUUCUGAAUUAUCUGUUGAAAUUAGCGUGGACAAGGAAGAGUUGGAAGAUGCCAAGUGGCACAGUAGGGAAGAUGUGAAGAAAGCAUUGACAUUUGCCGAGUACAAGAAAGCACAAACAACAGCGGCAGCCAAGGUAGCUCAGAUGUGCAAAGGAGUGGAAAAAGGACAGAACAUUGCUACUGACUUCAAUGUGGAAAGUGGUGACCUUGCUCCAAUGUUUGUCCCUGGGCCCUUCGCAAUUGCUCAUCAUCUCAUCACCACAUGGGUUUACCAGGACGAGUUGAAAGGUGUUGAAGCCCAAUUGAAGCAACCUAGUGGCUCUCUCUCUAAUUUGUAGCAGCUGUUCUACUUGUAAGGCAGCUUUAAAUCCUUCAUCAUUGUUUAUGGGUUUAUACUCUAUUUGAUUUCCAAAGAUCAGCAUCUUUUUUAUUUUUUAUUUUUUGAAGAUUGUAAUGGGUUGUUUUGGUGAAUUUUGCUAUCAUCCCUUUACAAAUUCUAGAAUCCUCCAAAAUUAUGGGAAGCACCCCCUUUAGCAGUCUCACACACGAUAUAUGGUUCGAUGUAAGAAUAGUUUUUCAACACUAAAUAAUUUUGCCCUUCUGUAACUAAAUAUUUGAGAUUGCUACA